AUGGAGCGCGGAAACGCGGAAACGCGGAAACGCGGAAAGAAAGUAACUAGAUUCCGCGUUUCCGUCGCUUCUUUCUAUCUCAUUUGAGCGGAACAGCGGAAUUUAUGCGUGUUUUGACUGUUUCGUGUGUGUGUGUGUGUGUGCAAAGAAGUGCAAACAGAUAUAUAAGGAAGUGUAAAACGUUUAUUAUAAUGAACGGCCCAGUAAGUAUUUGAGUAUCGAGUAUUAAGUAUAUUAUAGUAUUUGUAAAUUAAUAAUAAAUUGACAUAACGCUUAAAUCAAAUUUUAAAAAAAUUAAUAUUAAUACCUACUGAAUGAAGUCAUAACCUCACUUUAUGUGAUAUAAAGAUAAUUAAACACUUGUAUAUGUUUGCAGGCUAUAAAGUAUGGAUACUGCGGUUUCAUUUUACGUGGAUCAUGUGGAACAAUUUUAGACCAUCAUUGUUUUAGUGCAUAUGAUGAAAAUACUGAGGCCAUAAAUGUUGACGAAAAUGCCGUGGCCACUAUAAGAAAAAGACAUGAAACUGAAAAUAUACCGCAUACGAAAGAAAGAGAUGUACAGUCUGCACUCACACAAGAUGAGUUGCUGAUUGAAUUAGUUCGUACCCGAAGGCCUUUGUGGGACCAUUCUAUUCCAUUGAAAGAUAGGACAAAAUUAAUAAAAGACAAUCUUUGACAAGAAAUUGUAAACAUAUUUGAUGGAUCUCUAUCUAUGGAAGAAGCAAAACAGAAAUGGAAAAACCUUCGAGAUCAGUAUACAAAGGCUAGAAAGAAAAUGCGUGGAUACGUGCGAAGUGGUUCUGGGGCGGAAUCUGGCCAUCCAUUACGUAGUUCUUUU